UACGGAGGGUGCUAGCGUUGUUCGGAAUUACUGGGCGUAAAGCGCACGUAGGCGGCCCAGCAAGUUGGGGGUGAAAUCCCGGGGCUCAACCCCGGAACUGCCUUCAAAACUGCGGGUCUGGAGGUCGAGAGAGGUGAGUGGAAUUCCGAGUGUAGAGGUGAAAUUCGUAGAUAUUCGGAGGAACACCAGUGGCGAAGGCGGCUCACUGGGUCGAUACUGACGCUGAGGUGCGAAAGCGUGGGGAGCAAACAGG
rnacentral:rRNA from 1 species